rnacentral:rRNA from 1 species
UACCCUGGUAGUCCACGCCCUAAACGAUGUCAACUAGUUGUUGGUGGAGUAAAAUCCAUGAGUAACGUAGCUAACGCGUGAAGUUGACCGCCUGGGGAGUACGGUCGCAAGAUUAAAACUCAAAUGAAUUGACGGGGGCCCGCACAAGCGGUGGAUUAUGUGGAUUAAUUCGAUGCAACGCGAAAAACCUUACCUGGCCUUGACAUGUACGGAACUUUCUAGAGAUAGAUUGGUGCCUUCGGGAACCGUAACACAGGUGCUGCAUGGCUGUCGUCAGCUCGUGUCGUGAGAUGUCGGGUUAAGUCCCGCAACGAGCGCAACCCUUGCCAAUAAUUGCCAUCAUUUAGUUGGGCACUUUAUUGGGACUGCCGGUGACAAACCGGAGGAAGGUGGGGAUGACGUCAAGUCCUCAUGGCCCUUAUGGCCAGGGCUUCACACGUAAUACAAUGGUCGGUACAGAGGGUCGCCAACCCGCGAGGGGGAGCAAAUCCCAGAAAGCCGAUCGUAGUCCGGAUUGUUCUCUGCAACUCGAGAGCAUGAAGUCGGAAUCGCUAGUAAUCGCGGAUCAGAAUGUCGCGGUGAAUACGUUCCCGGGCCUUGUACACACCACCCGUCACACCAUGGGAGUGGGUUUUACCAGAAGUAGGUAGUCUAACCUUCGGGGGGACGCUUACCACGGUAGUAUUCAUGACUGGGGUGAAGUCGUAACAAGGUAGCCGUAAUCU